rnacentral:rRNA from 1 species
UACGAAGGGGGCUAGCGUUGUUCGGAUUUACUGGGCGUAAAGCGCGCGUAGGCGGAUUUUUAAGUCGGGGGUGAAAUCCCGGAGCUCAACUCCGGAACUGCCUUCGAUUCUGAAAGUCUGGAGCACGGUAGAGGUGAGUGGAAUUCCGAGUGUAGAGGUGAAAUUCGUAGAUAUUCGGAGGAACACCAGUGGCGAAGGCGGCUCACUGGACCGUUGCUGACGCUGAGGCGCUAAAGCGUGGGGCGCAAACAGG